AUUGAACGCUGGCGGCAGGCCCAACACAUGCAAGUCGAACGAGUGGCGGACGGGUGAGUAAUGUCUGGGAAACUGCCCGAUGGAGGGGGAUAACUACUGGAAACGGUAGCUAAUACCGCAUACCAUCGGAUGUGCCCAGCUGGGAUUAGCUCUUAGGUGGGUUAACGGCUCACCUAGGCGACGAUCCCUAGCUGGUCUGAGAGGAUGACCAGCCACACUGGAACUGAGACACGGUCCAGACUCCGACGGGAGGCAGCAUUGGGGAAUAUUGCACAAUGGGCGCAAGCCUGAUGCAGCCAUGCCGCGUGUAUGAAGAAGGCCUUCGGGUUGUAAAGUACUUUCAGCGGGGAGGCGUUACCCGCAGAAGAAGCACCGGCUAACUCCGUGCCAGCAGCCGCGGUAAUUC
rnacentral:rRNA from 1 species